rnacentral:lncRNA from 1 species
GCCCCACCUCGUCAUACCACCACAUUAUAGGGUGGGUUUUAACAUAUGAAUUUUGAGGGGAUAUGCCAACAUUGAGACCACAGCACUUCUCUACUCACCCCCAGUUCUGGGAGCCUUAAAGCAAUGGGAGCUGAAGAGUUUGACUCAAGGAAAGGAACAAAUCGUGAAGGAAAGAAGGUUCUUCUGGAAAAUAGUUAAAACCUGAAAAGGAGUGUAAGAUGACUUGAGGUAAAUCCCAAUUGCCAGAUCUAAAGCUGAUGGCUCUGCCUUCUAAUAAACUGAAGAACUUUUCUUGGUUUGUGAUUAAGAAGACAAAACAUAACCCUGUGAAUUGAUUUUUAAAGGAAUGUGAUGUCAGAUCUUCACACAUUGACAUUGUCACUGAUAAGAAAAUUUUAUGAGAUUUAGUUAAUAAAUAAAUUUUUAUAACUCAUGUAAUUAGGAAAGACAUUAUAUGAAAACAAAUAAAAUACCUACAGAAAGAGAUAAAGGGCAAUGAGGUGAAACUACUUGAGCAAAGAAAAGGACAACUUAAUGUCUCCCUGACUCAUCUUCUCACAUCAGAUAGCUUUUUAUUUCAGAGAACCUUCUUCCUAAACAAGACCAUAGAGAAAAAUCAGUGUGUCAAGCAGGAAUUUUGUUCCUAUUUCCAUAUUGAGACUACGUAGGAAAUAAAACAUGAAUUAAUUUGAAAUAUAUUCAAAAUAGCAUGAACACGUUAAUCAUUUUUAAAAAGAGUUGAUGUGAAAAAUUAGAAUUUUGUAAUAAGCCAAUGUUGUGGGUUGAGUUGUCAUAACUCCUAGUAACUCAGAAUGUGACCUUAUUUGGACAUAGGGUCUUUACAGAGGUUAGCAAGUUGAAAUGAGGUUAGUAGGGUGACCUCUAAUCUGAUAUAACUGGCAUCUUUAUACAAAGCGACAAUUUGGAGACAGACACACAUAGUAGGGAGAUGAGAAGACACAGAGAGAAGACGCCUAUCUACAAGACAAGGAGAAGGGUCUGGAACAGAUCCUUCCUUCCCUCAGCCCUCAGA